CCUACGGGUGGCAGCAGUGAGGAAUAUUGGUCAAUGGACGAGAGUCUGAACCAGCCAAGUAGCGUGAAGGAUGACUGCCCUAUGGGUUGUAAACUUCUUUUAUAUGGGAAUAAAAUGUUCCACGUGUGGGAUUUUGUAUGUACCAUAUGAAUAAGGAUCGGCUAACUCCGUGCCAGCAGCCGCGGUAAUACGGAGGAUCCGAGCGUUAUCCGGAUUUAUUGGGUUUAAAGGGUGCGUAGGGGGAUUGUUAAGUCAGUUGUGAAAGUUUGCGGAUCAACCGUAAAAUUGCAGUUGAUACUGGCAGUCGUGAGUACAGUAGAGGUAGGCGGAAUUCGUGGUGUAGCGGUGAAAUGCUUAGAGAUCACGAAGAACUCCGAUUGCGAAGGCAGCUCACUGGACUGCAACUGACACUGAGGCUCGAAAGUGUGGGUAUCAAACAGGAUUAGAUACCCGAGUAGUC
rnacentral:rRNA from 1 species